rnacentral:lncRNA from 1 species
UUCGCGUGCCGAAUUACAUGUACCCCGAGGCAAUUUUAAUGACAAUACGAUAGGUAAUAAUGCAAAUACAUAUCCUAGAAGGUUUAAUUCUGUACAAAACAAUUUUAAUGACAACACGAUAGGUAAUAAUGCAAAUACAUAUCCUAGAAGGUUUAAUUCUGUACAAAACAAGUCUGACUCGACAGGACAACAAAGAAGAACAUUCUUCUGUUGGAACUGUGGUAAACCAGGUCAUUAUGAAAGAAAUUGUAGGGCAAGAUCAAAUGAACAAUUUAGGAAACCAAGGGAAAAUUUAAACUAAGACGGUCUCUUUAUGCUGAAGCCAAUAGGGAGACUUUUAAGGGAAUUAAGGGAAAUAAGAGGUUUGAGAGAAAAAUUAAUUAUAGAUAUACAAAACCUGUAUAUAAUAUAUAUGAAUCAUGGUUAAAAAAAAUAAAUAACAAAUCAACAGACUUUAACAAUGCAUGUUCUAACAAUUCUACCUAUCACGAGAAUAAAAAUUAUUAUAAAAGAUUCAACAAUCGUUAUUCAAAACCGGAAGUAAACAAAGAAAAAAUGGCGCGAAAUUUCAAAUCAAAACCGGAA